ensembl:snRNA U6 U6 spliceosomal RNA
GUCCUUGCUUCAGCACACAUAUACUAAAAUUGGAAUGAUACAGAGAAGAUUAGCAUGGGCCCCUAUGCAAGGAGGACAUGCAAUUUCGUGAACCAUUCCAUAUUUUC